rnacentral:rRNA from 1 species
AGAGUUUGAUUAUGGCUCAGGAUGAACGCUGGCGGCAUGCCUAAUACAUGCAAGUCGAACGGACUACACCUUGAACCUGAAGUGCUUGCACAGAAGGGAAUUGGAUUAUGUAGUCAGUGGCGGACGGGUGAGUAACACGUGGGUUACCUGCCACACAGUAUGGAAUAACUAUUGGAAACGAUAGCUAAUACCGUAUAUGACCUUCGGGUUGAAAGAAGCGUUUGCUUCGCUAAGGGAUGGGCCUGCGGUGCAUUAGCUAGUUGGUAGGGUAAAGGCUUACCAAGGCGAUGAUGUCUAGCCGAGCUGAGAGGUUGAUCGGCCACAAUGGGACUGAGACACGGCCCAUACUCCUACGGGAGGCAGCAGUAGGGAAUUUUCCGCAAUGGACGAAAGUCUGACGGAGCAAUGCCGCGUGAGUGAUGAAGGUUUUCGAAUCGUAAAGCUCUGUUGUAAGGGAAGAACAGCACUAGUAGGAAAUGGCUAGUGUGUGACGGUACCUUACCAGAAAGCCACGGCUAACUACGUGCCAGCAGCCGCGGUAAU